rnacentral:lncRNA from 1 species
GGCAACUAAAAUCAAACUAAAAAAACAAAUUAAAACUUAUCAUUCAUUCAGUAGCUACAGGGGCAAAAUCAUCACAUUCAUCAUUCAACUAAACUAAAAAACCCAGAUUCCGACGAUAUUAUCCGAUCGAUACAGAAUAAUCCACACAAAACAGAAAACCCCAAAACCAAAAAUAAGAACUAAUUCGCACCGAACAAACCCAGAUUCCGGCGUGUUCAAAAGUAGUCGCCAUUGUUGCCGGCGAGAUGGAGGCAGAAAUUCAAAAAAACCCAACAAUAAACCAAUCAAUCAGUUUCAAAACAAUAACAAUAAUCAGCUAAAAUAACCAGAUUAACACCAAACUGAUUCCACUAAAAAAAUUAAGCAGCAAACAUAGUGAAUUAGCUCAGAACCAAUAAAUUAAUUUGACCCAACAGAGAAAAUCUCCAUCUUAAAUCAAUUUGAAAACUCCCAACACGUCCUCCUCGUCACCGACGUCCUCCUCGUCGCCAAUCAUUCUGAUCAAAAUAGAAGGAAUCAAGUGAAUCAAGACCAAUAUUCUGUUUAGCUCUUCGAAUUCUGGCCUUGAGAACUCGAGACCAUUCGAGGCAAUCGGUCUCUGCCCAGUGCCAGUUGUGGACGUUUGCUCCGUCUGGUCUGUCCUCAACGAUCCACCUCUUGUCUCCCUCUCCGUAUUUCGCCAUUUAAAAGAGAGAUAAACAGAGAUAGGAAGUUUGGAUAUUUUUGGUGAUUGAAUAGGUAGAGAUGCGAAAAACGCAGGGGAGAAAAUAUGUGUGGGUGCGUUUGAGGGAGAAACACAACACAGGUAAAGAAGGAGAGAGAGACCGGAGGAUUCUCAAGGUAGAAGGAUCUAGAACACUGGCUUUAUUAUUAUUUUAUUAUUAUAAUUAUAAUAGGUAGAAGGAUCUGGAAUAAGCCUAUAUUAUUAUACUAGGGUUAACCCUCUUCAACUUCUUCAAAAAUUACCAGAUCCGAUUUAAGAGAAGAUCCAAAAAAUCCUUUAGUUGGUUUAUUUUUCAACUAAACCAACUAAAGGAUUUUUUUCAAAAAUUACCAGAUCCGAUUUAAGUUAACAGAGGAGGAGGUGGUUCGGUAUGAUUUUGGAUGAUCGGUGGUUGUGAUUGGAGGUUUAUGGAUGAUCGGAGGUUUGUGGAUGAUGGUGGUGGUUAUGGAUGAUGAUGACGGUGAUUUUGGGUGGUUCUGUCUGAUUUUGGGUUAUGGAUUCUGAUUUUGGGUUGUUAAUAAUAAUAAUAAUAAUAAUAAUAAUAAUCUCUCUUUUUCAAAAUAUUAGAUAUCCACCUAAGCAUUGUUGUGUUUUUUAAUUAUUAAAUAUCCACCUAAGCAUCUAAUGUAUCCAUCUAAGCAUUUGACGUGGUGCCACAUCUUAAUUCCGUUAACUUUUUACACUUUUAGACGGAAAUUUCAAUUUUUGAAAAAAAGUUAUAGUUCAAUGAGUUGACCGUAAAAAAAUUCACUUCGGUGGUGCAUUUGUAAACCGACCUCUAGUAGAGUGAUGAAAAGUGUAUUUAACCCUAACUGUAAAUCACAUUUUACAAAAUUAUCAAUCAU